UACGGAGGAUCCAAGCGUUAUCCGGAAUCAUUGGGUUUAAAGGGUCCGUAGGCGGUUUAGUAAGUCAGUGGUGAAAGCCCAUCGCUCAACGGUGGAACGGCAUGUAUACUGCUGAACUUGAAUUAUUAGGAAGUAACUAGAAUAUGUAGUGUAGCGGUGAAAUGCUUAGAGAUUACAUGGAAUACCAAUUGCGAAGGCAGGUUACUACUAAUGGAUUGACGCUGAUGGACGAAAGCGUGGGUAGCGAACAGG
rnacentral:rRNA from 1 species